rnacentral:rRNA from 1 species
AACGAACGCUGGCGGCAGGCCUAACACAUGCAAGUCGAGCGAGGACUUCGGUUCUAGCGGCGGACGGGUUAGUAACGCGUGGGAGCGUACCCUUUUCUACGGAAUAGCCUCGGGAAACUGAGAGUAAUACCGUAUAUGCCCUUAGGGGGAAAGAUUUAUCGGAGAAGGAUCGGCCCGCGUUAGAUUAGAUAGUUGGUGGGGUAAUGGCCUACCAAGUCUACGAUCUAUAGCUGGUUUGAGAGGAUGAUCAGCAACACUGGGACUGAGACACGGCCCAGACUCCUACGGGAGGCAGCAGUGGGGAAUCUUAGACAAUGGGCGCAAGCCUGAUCUAGCCAUGCCGCGUGAGUGAUGAAGGCCUUAGGGUCGUAAAGCUCUUUCGCCUGUGAAGAUAAUGACUGUAGCAGGUAAAGAAACCCCGGCUAACUCCGUGCCAGCAGCCGCGGUAAUACGGAGGGGGUUAGCGUUGUUCGGAAUUACUGGGCGUAAAGCGCGCGUAGGCGGACAUUUAAGUCAGAGGUGAAAUCCCAGGGCUCAACCCUGGAACUGCCUUUGAUACUGGGUGUCUUGAGUUCGAGAGAGGUGAGUGGAAUUCCGAGUGUAGAGGUGAAAUUCGUAGAUAUUCGGAGGAACACCAGUGGCGAAGGCGGCUCACUGGCUCGAUACUGACGCUGAGGUGCGAAAGUGUGGGGAGCAAACAGGAUUAGAUACCCUGGUAGUCCACACCGUAAACGACGAAUGCCAGUCGUCGGGCAGUAUACUGUUCGGUGACACACCUAACGGAUUAAGCAUUCCGCCUGGGGAGUACGGUCGCAAGAUUA